CUUGCUUUCACUCGCUUAUGCUUUUCAUCUUCUUUUUUUUGUUUUCGUUCAUUUUUCACAUUUUUGGCUUUUUUUUAUGUUGCUGCUUUUUCCAAAUGGGGAUGGUCACAACCUUGACCAAACUCGGAGCUAACCAGUCUCCAACCCAUGCCCUAAGUCUCAUGAAUGUAGGGAAGAAGGUAGACUUCGAGGGUCGCCACACGUGUAUAGGUUCUAACCAAAUCCCACGCCUUAGAACCUCCUUGAAUUCUAUUAGCUUCUUCAAGGAUUGGA
rnacentral:lncRNA from 1 species